rnacentral:rRNA from 1 species
AGAGUUUGAUUCUGGCUCAGGAUUAACGCUGGCGGCGUGCCUAAUACAUGCAAGUCGAAUGGUAGCAAUACCAUGGCGAACGGGUGAGUAACACGUAGGUAACCUGUCUUUAAGCCGAGGAUAACCAUUGGAAACGAUGGAUAAUACUGGAUAGGACAUUUGAAGGCAUCUUUAGAUGUUUAAAGAUUUAUCACUUAGAGAGGGGCCUGCGGCGCAUUAGCUAGUUGGUGAGGUGAAGGCUUACCAAGGCGAUGAUGCGUAGCCGGACUGAGAGGUUGAACGGCCACAAUGGAACUGAGAACGGUCCAUACUCCUACGGGAGGCAGCAGUAGGGAAUUUUCGGCAAUGGGCGGAAGCCCUGACCGAGCAACGCCGCGUGAACGAAGAAGUAUUUCGGUAUGUAAAGUUCUUUUAUUAGGGACGAAAAGACAGAUUGACGGUACCUAAUGAAUAAGCUCCGGCUAACUACGUGCCAGCCGCCGC